rnacentral:rRNA from 1 species
GUGCCAGCAGCCGCGGUAAUACGUAGGGCGCAAGCGUUGUCCUGGAAUUAUUGGGCGUAAAGAGCUUGUAGGUGGCUUGUCGCGUCUGCCGUGAAAACCCGAGGCUCAACCUCGGGCGUGCGGUGGGUACGGGCAGGCUAGAGUGUGGUAGGGGAGACUGGAACUCCUGGUGUAGCGGUGAAAUGCGCAGAUAUCAGGAAGAACACCGAUGGCGAAGGCAGGUCUCUGGGCCAUUACUGACACUGAGAAGCGAAAGCAUGGGUAGCGAACAGGAUUAGAUACCCUGGUAGUCC